UACGUAGGGUGCGAGCGUUGUCCGGAAUUAUUGGGCGUAAAGGGCUCGUAGGCGGUCUGUCGCGUCGGGCGUGAAAACUCAGGGCUUAACCCUGAGCCUGCUUCCGAUACGGGCAGACUAGAGGUAUGCAGGGGAGAAUGGAAUUCCUGGUGUAGCGGUGAAAUGCGCAGAUAUCAGGAGGAACACCAGUGGCGAAGGCGGUUCUCUGGGACGGUACUGACGCUGAGGCGCGAAAGCGUGGGGAGCGAACAGG
rnacentral:rRNA from 1 species